AUUGAACGCUGGCGGAAUGCUUUACACAUGCAAGUCGAACGGCAGCACGGGGCAACCUGGUGGCGAGUGGCGAACGGGUGAGUAAUAUAUCGGAACGUGCCCAAUCGUGGGGGAUAACGUAGCGAAAGUUACGCUAAUACCGCAUACGAUCUACGGAUGAAAGCGGGGGAUCGCAAGACCUCGCGCGAAUGGAGCGGCCGAUAUCAGAUUAGGUAGUUGGUGGGGUAAAGGCUCACCAAGCCAACGAUCUGUAGCUGGUCUGAGAGGACGACCAGCCACACUGGAACUGAGACACGGUCCAGACUCCUACGGGAGGCAGCAGUGGGGAAUUUUGGACAAUGGGCGCAAGCCUGAUCCAGCCAUUCCGCGUGCAGGAUGAAGGCCUUCGGGUUGUAAACUGCUUUUGUACGGUAACGAAACGGUACUGCCCUAAUACGGCAGGCUAAUGACGGUACCGUAAGAAUAAGCACCGGCUAACUACGUGCCAGCAGCCGCGGUAAU
rnacentral:rRNA from 1 species